rnacentral:lncRNA from 1 species
GAGAAACAAUGGUGGUAGGUGGGGGACAUCGAAUUGGUUGAUUUGAGGUACGGGGUGCGCCGUUGAUACACGAAAAGUGGUGUCCAAGAAGGUGGGGUGGAUUUGGUUGAUGUAUGAGGUAAAUUUAUAGAGCGUUUAGAGGGUGGCAGAGGUUAGGCCGAAGAUGACUGCGAUGGUGAUGGACUAGAAUAGCUGGAAUUAUCAAGAUGAGAUAGAGUUGGAAAAGAUAGAGACAUACCUGAGGCAGGAGUGUGUGAAGAUCCCAAAUCUUCUUGUACCACGGAUAAUACACAGGGAAUCUCGGGUGGGGGUGAUUGAAUUGUAGUUGGAGUUUCAUUAGGAGAUGAAGAAUGUUGGGGUAGGGAUUCAGCCGUAUCGAGAGUGGGUUCAAUUUCAUUAAUUUUAUUUUGUGUAGGGUUUAUAAUGGGUUGGGGUAAUUAUGAAAAUAAGGAAAAGUGACAUGUGAGUUUUGGGUUUUCUUUAUUUGUGAC